UACGUAGGGCGCAAGCGUUAUCCGGAAUUAUUGGGCGUAAAGAGCGUGUAGGCGGCCAGGUAGGUCUGCUGUGAAAACUCGAGGCUCAACCUCGAGAUGUCGGCGGAAACCAUCUGGCUAGAGUCCGGAAGAGGAGAGUGGAAUUCCUGGCGUAGCGGUGAAAUGCGCAGAUAUCAGGAAGAACACCCGUGGCGAAGGCGGCUCUCUGGGACGGUACUGACGCUGAGACGCGAAAGCGUGGGGAGCGAACAGG
rnacentral:rRNA from 1 species